UCCCCUAGUAACUGCGAGUGAAGCGGGAAAAGCUCAAAUUUAAAAUCUGGUAGUCUUUGGCUGCCCGAGUUGUAAUCUAGAGAAGCAUUAUCCGCGCUGGACCGUGUACAAGUCUCCUGGAACGGAGCGUCAUAGAGGGUGAGAAUCCCGUCUUUGACACGGACUACCAGGGCUUUGUGAUGUGCUCUCAAAGAGUCGAGUUGUUUGGGAAUGCAGCUCUAAAUGGGUGGUAAAUUCCAUCUAAAGCUAAAUAUUGGCGAGAGACCGAUAGCGAACAAGUACCGUGAGGGAAAGAUGAAAAGAACUUUGGAAAGAGAGUUAAACAGUACGUGAAAUUGUUGAAAGGGAAACGCUUGAAGUCAGUCGCGUUUGCCGGGGAUCAACCUUGCUUCUUGCUUGGCUUACUUCCUGGUAGACGGGUCAGCAUCAAUUUUGACCGGUGGAUAAAGGCUAGGGGAAUGUGGCAUCUUCGGGUGUGUUAUAGCCCUUGGUCGCAUACAUCGGUUGGGAUUGAGGAACUCAGCACGCCGCAAGGCCGGGUCUUUGACCACGUUCGUGCUUAGGAUGCUGGCAUAAUGGCUUUAAUCGACCCGUCUUGAAACUCGGACCAAGGAGUCUAACAUGCCCGCGAGUG
rnacentral:rRNA from 1 species